UUGACUCGCUCUGAUCUUUCUCUUCUCACUGACUUCUCUCUUGGAAGUUGACCGAGAGUAUACUUGACAGUCAGUAUUGUCAAAACGUAUUCUGUUUAAGUAUCGAAUCGUGCUUAUUAAUUAAAUUGAGUCUACUUUUAAAGAGAUAAUCGGCCUAUUUUGUCGAAAGUCUACUCGACGGUAAGAUGGUGCCAUCAGCAGCGCGUGCUCUGAUUCCGCCAUGCCCUGCACGUGGCGUGGCGGGGAUCUCGCAAUGGAGGAAUAGAGACAUGAUUACUUAACUUACUUAUACGGUGUUUUAAUAAUGUUAACUCGAUUUAACCCAUGAGACCUUGUGGAUUUCAUGGUGGACCGUGAGCGCUGAUCUAACAGCGGAUGCAGCAGAGGUUCCUCCCCGUGUAGACAUCUGCAGGCCUUCGUUCAGUCUGCAGCCAUGAGCUGAUGAUUUCACAUUGGAGUAGCUGGUGUCUCUUCUUGGAAGUUCACACAGAGUCAAAGAAAAGUGCAGUGGACGGACCUCAGCUGUUAACUGUGGCAGCUCAUGCACAUAGAGAUGGAAACAUAAAGGAUUUCGUCCUAGAGCAGUGGUUCUCAGCUGGUCUAGCAUAAUGACCAUCACCUCAACAAUGCACAACAAAGAUGGUGCAAGUUUGGACCAAAACGCCAAGAGAUCAGAAUGACCGAAGGAGUUGAGGGUCAUUGAUUUCAUUUGUUUUUAAGUCUUAACUGUUUUUCUUGAAACAGCCUUUAUUUUUGAAAAUUUUAAAUAAAUUGUCCAUGUAUUUUCUUUGUUUGAAAUCAAUAAAAAAU